AAGCACCUCAAGUGGUCAGGAUGAUUAUUGGGCCUAAAGCAUCCGUAGCCUGCUUUGUUAGUUUUCGGUUAAAUCCAUACGCUCAACGUAUGGGCUGCCGGGAAUACUGCAAAGCUAGGGAGUGGGAGAGGUAGACGGUACUCGGUAGGAAGGGGUAAAAUCCUUUGAUCUAUUGAUGACCACCUGUGGCGAAGGCGGUCUACCAGAACACGUCCGACGGUGAGGGAUGAAAGCUGGGGGAGCAAACCGGAUUAGAUACCCGAGUAGUCC
rnacentral:rRNA from 1 species